GUGAAAUUGUUGAAAGGGAAGCGCUUGCAACCAGACUUGCAUGCAGUCGAUCAUCCGAUGUUCUCACCGGUGCACUCGAUUGUAUUCAGGCCAGCAUCGGUUUUGGUGGCUAGAUAAAGGCCUUGGGAAUGUAGGUCCCAUUUGGGAGUGUUAUAGCCCUUGGUGCAAUGUAGCCUACUGGGACCGAGGACCGCGCUUCGGCUAGGAUGCUGGCGUAAUGGUUGUAAGCGACCCGUCUUGAAACACGGACCAAGGAGUCUAACAUCUAUGCGAGUGUUUGGGUGUAAAACCCAUACGCGUAAUGAAAGUGAACGGAGGUGAGAACCCUUAAGGGUGCAUCAUCGACCGAUCCUGAUGUCUUCGGAUGGAUUUGAGUAAGAGCAUAGCUGUUGGGACCCGAAAGAUGGUGAACUAUGCCUGAAUAGGGUGAAGCCAGAGGAAACUCUGGUGGAGGCUCGCAGCGGUUCUGACGUGCAAAUCGAUCGUCAAAUUUGGGUAUAGGGGCGAAAGACUAAUCGAACCAUCGCUUAUUAGCUUAUUAUGAUUCUUUUUUGCGCUAUUAGGUGGUUAAUUGAGAUAAAUAUCUCCAGCUGUCUAUGAUGGCGACUUAGACAUCUUUGCUCGGGCGUGCAUAAGCAUGACGAGAAGCAACUUUUAUU
rnacentral:rRNA from 1 species